CGGGACGGGUGAGUAACGCGUGGGUAACCUGCCUCAUACAGGGGGAUAACAGUUAGAAAUGGCUGCUAAUACCGCAUAAGACCACAGUACUGCAUGGUACAGUGGUAAAAACUCCGGUGGUAUGAGAUGGACCCGCGUCUGAUUAGGUAGUUGGUGAGGUAACGGCCCACCAAGCCGACGAUCAGUAGCCGACCUGAGAGGGUGACCGGCCACACUGGGACUGAGACACGGCCCAG
rnacentral:rRNA from 1 species